rnacentral:rRNA from 1 species
GACGAACGCUGGCGGCGUGCCUAAUACAUGCAAGUCGAGCGAAGUUUUUCUGGUGCUUGCACCGGAAAAACUUAGCGGCGAACGGGUGAGUAACACGUAAAGAACCUGCCUCAUAGACUGGGACAACUAUUGGAAACGAUAGCUAAUACCGGAUAACAGCAUUAACUGCGUGGUUGAUGUUUAAAAGUUGGUUUUGCUAACACUAUGAGAUGGCUUUGCGGUGCAUUAGCUAGUUGGUGGGGUAAAGGCCUACCAAGGCGACGAUGCAUAGCCGACCUGAGAGGGUGAUCGGCCACACUGGGACUGAGACACGGCCCAGACUCCUACGGGAGGCAGCAGUAGGGAAUCUUCCGCAAUGGGCGAAAGCCUGACGGAGCAACGCCGCGUGAGUGAAGAAGGAUUUCGGUUCGUAAAGCUCUGUUGUUAGGGAAGAAUGAUUGUGUAGUAACUAUACACAGUAGAGACGGUACCUAACCAGAAAGCCACGGCUAACUACGUG